AAUGCGCGAGAGCGUGACGCAGCGACGCCGCGUGGGGGAUCGAAGGCCCUCGGGUUGUAAACCCCUUUCGCCAGGGACGAAGCGAGAGUGACGGUACCGUGGAGAAGAAGUCCCGGCUAACUACGUGCCAGCAGCCGCGGUAACACGUAGGGGACGAGCGUUGUCCGGAUUCAUUGGGCGUAAAGCGCGCGUAGGCGGUCGUGCAAGUCGGUUGUGAAAUCCCGGGGCUCAACCCCGGGACUGCGUCCGAUACUGUGCGACUGGAGGCAGGUAGGGGAGAUCGGAAUUCCUGGUGUAGCGGUGAAAUGCGCAGAUAUCAGGAGGAACACCGGUGGCGAAGGCGGAUCUCUGGGCCUUGCCUGACGCUGAGGCGCGAAAGCUAGGGGAGCGAACAGGAUUAGAUACCCUGGUAGUCCUAGCCGUAAACGUUGGGUGCUAGGUGUGGGCGGACAUCGACCCCGUCCGUGCCGAAGCUAACGCAUUAAGCACCCCGCCUGGGGAGUACGGCCGCAAGGCUA
rnacentral:rRNA from 1 species